rnacentral:lncRNA from 1 species
GGUCUAAAUUUUGACCGCAAGAGUGUUUUAUUUCAGUUGUGGUUUGUCAGUUGAAGUGGCACGUGCUUACGCUUUUGUUUAAAAACGUGUUAUUGUGUUUUAUGAGGAUAUUUCACUAAAGGCUUUCAACGUAAUAAUGUCCUUUCGCCUAAAAAAGAUUCAGCAGAUUUUAAAGCAGCAGCAAUCUACCAAUGAGGAUGCAUCUACCAAACAAUCUAUCUCUGACUACACAGUUUCUGUUUUUGAAUGUGAAAAUGGUACCCCAAAGAAUAUGCUCGACAAUGAUGAACAACAAAACAAACAA